rnacentral:rRNA from 1 species
GGCUGUCGUCAGCUCGUGUCGUGAGAUGUUGGGAUAAGUCCCGCAACGAGCGCAACCCUUGCCCUUAGUUGCCAGCAGGUUAAGCUGGGCACCCUAAGGGAACUGUCGGCGAAAAGCCGGAGGAAGGUGGGGAUGACGUCAAGUCCUCAUGGCCCUUACGUCCCGGGCUACACACGUGCUACAAUGGUCGGUACAAAGGGUUGCCAACCCGCGAGGGGGAGCUAAUCCCAAAAAGCCGAUCUCAGUUCGGAUUGCAGUCUGCAACAAGAACUGCAUGAAGGCGGAAUCGCUAGUAAUCGCAGAUCAGCAUGCUGCGGUGAAUACGUUCCCGG